rnacentral:rRNA from 1 species
UACGUAGGGAGCAAGCGUUGUCCGGAAUCAUUGGGCGUAAAGCGCGCGUAGGCGGCCCUGUAAGUCCGUUGUGAAAGUCAAAGGCUCAACCUUUGAAAGCCGAUGGAUACUGCAGGGCUAGAGUCCGGAAGAGGCGAGUGGAAUUCCUGGUGUAGCGGUGGAAUGCGCAGAUAUCAGGAGGAACACCGAUGGCGAAGGCAGCCUUCGUGGGCCGAAUACUGACGCUCAUGCACGAAAG